GUUGUCUUCUCCAGAUGACCCAUUGCCAUUGUUCUUCUUCUGCAAUAGAGAACCAAAACAAAGCACCCCCUCUCCCCGCUGCCUUUUCUCCAACAGCAAAACCAACAAACACGAGCCGCUGCUGCUUCUCCAUCAAGCAACCCCAUCGUUGCCUGAAACUCGCCGGCAAAACGAGCUCCACCAGCUCGUCGGAGUAACGAGUUCCGAACGCGACGAGUAGAACCAAGCGACCUCACACCAGUAGCUUCCAACGAGCCCCCCUUUUUGAACCUGGAACGAUCAUCUUCUUCAUGAAGAUUGAAGAAGUUAGCUCUUCAUCUGUCUAACACCAAAAACGACCCCCCUUGUAUUCCAUCUCCUUCACAACCCCAGUUCUAGUCGCAACACCAACCAAAAACACUUCCCUGACCAAGAAAGCCCUCCAACGUCGUAACUUCCAAUCUACAACACACACGCACAUAGCUGCAACGGGAGGGCAGCAGCAGCGAAAGCAGUAGGGGUGAAAGGGAGGCGACGAGUGGCGUUCGAAAAGUCGAUGAAAUAGUAGUCUCGAUAUAGGUUCGUCCAAGCUGUCCGUCUGCGAAUCCGAGGUGUCGAUGCAAGGUCCGUUGGAUCCUUCUCUGUUUUUGUACGUGUUGACUUUGAUCAUCAAUAAAAUUUAUUCGACAAUUGGAUUUUCCGAUGUUGAGACUCGAAGCAAAUUUGAAAAAAAAAAUUCAGUUUCUAAGAUUGAUUUUGAAACUGCGUAGCCUCGUUUCGCUGCUGGAAUUUUGUUGGUUUGAGUCAAUUUUGGAACUUGCUUGUGAGAUCUGCUCGGAGCCAGUCGUUGAAGUCUCGAGGUCGUUUCAUCGAGGGCCGGUCACGGUUUGAUUUUCGUACAAAUUUCCAUCGGAGCUUGCCGUUGCACUUUCAUUUGGCUACAGUGAAAAGUACAUGUCCUGAAACUCGAUGUAUGAAAAUAUCCAGUUGAAAAUGAAUGAAGUGGAGGCCUAUUGUUGUUGAAGUGGACGCCUAUUGUUGAUUUACUGCUUUCAUUAUAGUGUAAUAACUGUACUGAUGGACUGUUAAUUAUAAGUUUGUGCAUUUGAACCGUUAAGUGUGUGUUAGAUAUUUAGAAAUGCAUAUGAGUUUAGUUGAGUAUUCGUUGUAAUAAUUCCAUGCUGGACUAACAGAAUAGUUUCUAUUAGUUUAGUUAAUUUCCGGUUUUCCUAGAUCUGUAUAAAUGGUAUUUUCAAGCUGUGAUUAAUUAGGCUGUAGACUGUUAAAGUAGUGUGAUACUUCUUCUGA